AGAGUUUGAUCCUGGCUCAGGAUGAACGCUGGCGGCGUGCCUAAUACAUGCAAGUCGAGCGAACGGACGAGAAGCUUGCUUCUCUGAUGUUAGCGGCGGACGGGUGAGUAACACGUGGAUAACCUACCUAUAAGACUGGGAUAACUUCGGGAAACCGGAGCUAAUACCGGAUGAUAUUUUGAACCGCAUGGUUCAAAAGUGAAAGACGGUCUUGCUGUCACUUAUAGAUGGAUCCGCGCUGCAUUAGCUAGUUGGUAAGGUAACGGCUUACCAAGGCAACGAUGCAUAGCCGACCUGAGAGGGUGAUCGGCCACACUGGAACUGAGACACGGUCCAGACUCCUACGGGAGGCAGCAGUAGGGAAUCUUCCGCAAUGGGCGAAAGCCUGACGGAGCAACGCCGCGUGAGUGAUGAAGGUCUUCGGAUCGUAAAACUCUGUUAUUAGGGAAGAACAUAUGUGUAAGUAACUGUGCACAUCUUGACGGUACCUAAUCAGAAAGCCACGGCUAACUACGUGCCAGCAGCCGCGGUAAUACGUAGGUGGCAAGCGUUAUCCGGAAUUAUUGGGCGUAAAGCGCGCGUAGGCGGUUUUUUAAGUCUGAUGUGAAAGCCCACGGCUCAACCGUGGAGGGUCAUUGGAAACUGGAAAACUUGAGUGCAGAAGAGGAAAGUGGAAUUCCAUGUGUAGCGGUGAAAUGCGCAGAGAUAUGGAGGAACACCAGUGGCGAAGGCGACUUUCUGGUCUGUAACUGACGCUGAUGUGCGAAAGCGUGGGGAUCAAACAGGAUUAGAUACCCUGGUAGUCCACGCCGUAAACGAUGAGUGCUAAGUGUUAGGGGGUUUCCGCCCCUUAGUGCUGCAGCUAACGCAUUAAGCACUCCGCCUGGGGAGUACGACCGCAAGGUUGAAACUCAAAGGAAUUGACGGGGACCCGCACAAGCGGUGGAGCAUGUGGUUUAAUUCGAAGCAACGCGAAGAACCUUACCAAAUCUUGACAUCCUUUGACAACUCUAGAGAUAGAGCCUUCCCCUUCGGGGGACAAAGUGACAGGUGGUGCAUGGUUGUCGUCAGCUCGUGUCGUGAGAUGUUGGGUUAAGUCCCGCAACGAGCGCAACCCUUAAGCUUAGUUGCCAUCAUUAAGUUGGGCACUCUAAGUUGACUGCCGGUGACAAACCGGAGGAAGGUGGGGAUGACGUCAAAUCAUCAUGCCCCUUAUGAUUUGGGCUACACACGUGCUACAAUGGACAAUACAAAGGGCAGCGAAACCGCGAGGUCAAGCAAAUCCCAUAAAGUUGUUCUCAGUUCGGAUUGUAGUCUGCAACUCGACUACAUGAAGCUGGAAUCGCUAGUAAUCGUAGAUCAGCAUGCUACGGUGAAUACGUUCCCGGGUCUUGUACACACCGCCCGUCACACCACGAGAGUUUGUAACACCCGAAGCCGGUGGAGUAACCUUUUAGGAGCUAGCCGUCGAAGGUGGGACAAAUGAUUGGGGUGAAGUCGUAACAAGGUAGCCGUAUCGGAAGGUGCGGCUG
rnacentral:rRNA from 2 species